AGCAGCAAAAAAUCCUAAUGGUUUCAAAUAUACCGCUAUUAUUAGUGUUCGUUAAAAAAAAUAUAAUUAAUUAUAAGUAAAAUACUUAACCUUGAUUAGUGAGUGAGGUAAAUUAUCCUUCUUACUCUGAUAUUAUACCUUCUUCUUUCAUAUGAAAAUUCUAGUUCUAUCAAAACCCUAGCAAUAAGAACUCUUUUUUCUCUUCCUAUUCCACUUCCUCUCUCUUCUUCAUGCUAGUUUCGAACCAGUAACUAGGGUUUCUUCAUUCCCAUCCAUCAAUGACGCAUGUUACUUUGCCCAUGUCAAGCGUCGGGGAAUCAGCAGUAGAUAGGUAAAGGAAAAAAGUUGUGAGAGAAGAGGUACAGAAGAGAUUGCAUAAUAGUGGAUUGGGUUAAUUUUUAUAUAAAAGAUGAUGACCAGUGGGAAGCUUUGGGAGGACAUCAUUUUUGCACAAUUCUAAUAGUUAGGGCUUUUGGAAGAACAUAUUUGUGAUGACACAUUUUACCUAUCUUCUAUUAAAAAAUAAACAAUAAGUUAAUGGAAACAAAUCAGAUGGACAAAUAUGAACAUCAUCAGACUUUUGAAGAGAUAAAUCUGAAAACUUGAAUUUUGUAGUGAUAUAUUUGCUAUUCGAUAUGUUUAUAAGGAGCUGUAUGAAAUUAUCCCAAUAAAUUUUUUAUGAAAAGACCUUUUUUUUAUAUAUUUCAGUUAAGUUUUUUUUCUAAAUGAAAUAAACGAAGCGGGUAACAUGCUACCUAUCUCUCAAAAAAAAACUUUUCUUCAAAAAAAUGUUUUACUCUCUAUAUGCCUUGAGGAAACAUUAGGAAUGACUAGGGAUGUCAACAAGUCGGAUUCGGGGCGGAUUUUCAAAAAUCUGAACCCGAACCCGAACCCGACUACCAAAUUCGAAAUUCGAACUCGAACCCGAACCCGACGGAUUUUAAAAAUCCAUAUCUAAACCCGAAUCCGACCAGAAACCCGAAAUCCGAACCAGAACAGGAAAACCCGAACUCGAAUCCGGAACAAACCCGAAUCCGACCAAAAACCCGAAACCCCAUUUUUAACCUAAAAGUCCGAAGCCGAAAAUAAUAUUUAACAAAUUUUGAAACAUAUUAUACA
rnacentral:lncRNA from 1 species